AGGAAAUUAAAAUAAUUUACCAGGAACUGAACCAAUCUUCUGGGUCUUAUUUUUUGACUCCGCGCAUUGGAAGGUGCCCUCGUAUGUUUUUCAUAAACUCUCUUCGCUGUCAGAGUAAAAUUGAAAGGAAUUCAAAUAAAAAUUCCGUAUUCAGCACGCUGGUGUGAUGGAUCCGUCUUCACUUGGAGGACAUUGUUGGUUGCAGUAGCCAAAUAAUUCCGAAAGAUGGCAGUAAAGAAACAUAAUGGUUUCAAUCUGUCGGACAGUUCUGCCGAACAACAACAACAACAAAAAUAAAAACACGGAAGUUAGCAACACUACUCUACCAAACAGACGCGACUAAAAAACGCUCAACGGUUGUUUGUUGGAGAAAAGGGGUUCCCAACUAAAGGCCUCCCCUCCCUCUUCAUCAAAAGCGAAGUGGAAGUACCCUGGACCAGUCCAGAAGGACAUAAGAUUCAGGCUCUGUUUCAGAUGCUGUGUCUCUCUUGGACUCUUCCAGGUCAGGAGCUUCAUUGGAGGUCAUCUGCGAUUCUACAGAUGAAAGGGACCCAAGGAGGCCGGCAUGUCGAAGGCCCGCCAGCACAGGCCACUCAGAAGGCGUGAAGGCCCUCACAGGUGUCAACCAGUUUUUCACUGAAGAAGAAGACUUCAAAGAGAUCUGAUCCGAGUGGUAACAUGUCUCGGGGAGCAGGAGAGGGAACGACACAAAUAGACUUCUGGCUGCUCGCUUGUCCUUAUCCACCUCUCGUCUAAUUGGCGGUUCUGUGUGCAGCAAGGGGGAAGGAAGCCGAGUGAAUGUGUAAUCAUUCGGAGCCUCUUCUCCUUCAGAUGUUGCAUCCCUCUCUUUUUUGUUCGCCUAAUUAUACAGUGUGCUUGCUUAAUUCCAUGCUAACUGCCUGUCUUAGGUUGGCAGUAAUGGACCAGAGGAACAAAUAAACGCUAGAAUUAGUCGAGUUUGGAAGAUAGUCUUUCCGGUGCAGCUUUUAGCAGGGUUGCUUUGGACUUUGCAAUUGAGGAUGUCCUAUUGUGCGUGUACUUGACUUUCGUAACAUGCUCUCUGUGGUUUCCUGUGUGUGUGUGUGUGUGUGUGUGUGCGUCCGAACCAGGAGUUUCCAAACAUGUUAAGCUCAAUACCCAAAUUACAAAGUAUACACAUUAUCGCAUCGUUUCUGUGUGUGUAGUAUAUAUAUGUCGAUGUUUUGCCGGUAAAAAAAGAGUUUGGGGUCACCCAGGCGAUUUCAUGUUUUCCGUGGAAACACACUGUUGUAUACACACGACACCUCAAAAAGCUGGGGUCACUCAGAAAUGUCUUUUAAAGAAAAAGAAAUGCACCACUCUAUAUAGAAGCCUCAACUCCAGUGUAGUUCAACAAGUAAAAACAGAAUGCAGUUGUUUGAAAAUUCCAUUCCAUUCUCUACAACGACAAAAUAAUGUACAAACUAAUAAACGUUUUUUUUUCCUUUGCUAACACCUACACAAUUGUCUUUCUGAAAUAAGGACUUCCCUGUGACGAUGGUGCUUGGAUGGCAGCAUAUGUUGCUCCAAAACCUCUAUGUGCAUUUAAGUAUUAAUGGUGCCUUACCAGAUGUGCAAUUCACCCAUGUCGUGGGCACGUACACACACACACACACACAAACACAAAUCAUGGACACACGCACAUGAUUUAUGCACACACAUAAUUAAAUCAAAAGCCGUUAUUGUCAUUACAUGACUGCAUACAAUAAGAUAAUGAGCGCUACACCACAAGGUGCUUAAAACUUUAUAAAUACAAUAGACUAAAAGGUAUUAGAUGUGAGAUACAAUAAAGAAAGAAAUAAUGCUUUUGUGAAUGAAGAUAAUUUUGUAUACUAGAGCACAGGUGUCAAAUUCAAGGCCCAGGGGCCAGAUUCGGCCCACCACAUCGUUUUAUGUGGCCCGCAGAGCCAAAUCUACAGUGUCAAUUUACACGGUUCUUGCAAAAUCUGCACCAAAAUUUCAAAUAGGCAUUAUCAUAAAUGAUGAAGUUGAGAUAUUACAAGCAUUUUUGUGUUACUAGUUGAAAAACACAUUGCCCUUCAUUUCUGAUUCCAAAAGUAGUUCAUAAAUUGAUAAUGUGAAUAUGAUGAGACGAUUAAAUAUUUUUAUUGUGUCACAGUCACAACGGCCCUCUGAGGGAAGCCGUAACUGCAAUGUUGCCCGUGAGAAAAAUGAGUUUGACACCCCUUUACUAGAGUAUAUACACAUUCACAGAACAGUGUGCUCUCACUGAAAACGUGAAUUCUCUGGAUGAGCCGAAACUUUUUUACCUGAAACUUUUUGUAUGCUUUGUAUUGCAGUAACAUUGGCCGUAUGCUACACGAAACUAACAAGGACGUAGACAAGAACAGACAUGAGCUAUAACACACAGUUAAUGUUGCUUGAUGAGUAACGACCUAGCUUACAGCAUUUUACUCCCUUCUCCCAUAAAAGUCAACCUGUGACCCAUUUUUGGGCCUUGAUCCAAAGUUUGAGUAACCCUCCUUUCAUUGAGUUUCAUUCAGCAGUCAUCCCAUGUAGUGUCUUCGUUCUUUCAAAAUAAAGUCACACCUACAACA